rnacentral:rRNA from 1 species
UACGUAGGGAGCAAGCGUUGUCCGGAAUCAUUGGGCGUAAAGCGUCCGCAGGUGGCUGUGUAAGUCUGCUGUCAAAGAGCGAAGCUCAACUUCGUAAAGGCAGUGGAAACUACACGGCUAGAGUGCGUUCGGGGCAGAGGGAAUUCCUGGUGUAGCGGUGAAAUGCGUAGAGAUCAGGAAGAACACCGGUGGCGAAGGCGCUCUGCUAGGCCGCAACUGACACUGAGGGACGAAAGCUAGGGGAGCGAAUGGG